GGGGGUGUAGCUCAGCUGGGAGAGCACCUGCUUUGCAAGCAGGGGGUCAUCGGUUCGAUUCCGUUCAUCUCCACCA
rnacentral:tRNA from 3 species